UUGGUGUUAGAUGUGUCAGUGGGGAGACUCCCCAGUGCAAUUAAACAGGAGUAUUGAGCCGGAGAGAAAUCAGUGUGUGUUGACUCAGAUAUUUAAGCAACCACCUUUCAGUAUUGACUCAGAAAUUGGCCUUCCAGCUGUCCCUGCUGGCAGACUCUUCUGGCAUCUCGUCAAGCCCGUGUUAAUGUGUUUUUCAAAUUUCAACUUGCUUCAACUUGUCUCCUGACUGAUCCUCCUGAUGAUGAUAAUUAUGGUUUCCAGGCUGACCUGCACACAGCACUUAGGCAAGUAGCCCAGGCCCCUCUCUGGAGGUGACCUCCUCCUUAUAAAUCACAGUCAGAGGACGUUUGCUUGCUGGGUUCGCGGCAGGUUAAGUCAGCUUGGGGGACUUCUCAAGCAACUCCUAAUUGUUCCUCUGGAGAACCUGAGUGGUGUGGGUCUCUCUCCUGAUGGGGUUAGACUUCAGUGGUCUGCUGCUGGAGGGGGCCGGGUUGCUGAUUCCCUCCAAAUUUUACUCACUCUUCCAAACAGGAAGAGCUUUCCCACCAUGUGCAGUCCCCCUGAUGAGUAAUUCUUGGAUGGGUUUGUGGUCACUUAAUUGCCAGGGAGCUUGCCCCUUGCUUUACAGAGUCGUGACUAUACAAGCACCUUUCCCAGCCGUGGCCAAUUAGUGGGGCCCCAGCUGGUUUGGAGCCAGGCUUCUAAGGAAGGCUGGGUCCCUGUUCUCAGCUCCAAGGCCUUUUCUGUAGCCUCUCUGAGGCCUUCCUAAGUGCGGCUGUCAAACUUUGCUGAACUUUCCCCCUUGCGGCUAAUGAGUGUCACAGCUAUUUUUAACCUCGGGUUUUCUAGAAUUUGAGCUGUUAACCCAGCUCCCACAGAAGAAGGAUCCUAGGAGGUAGAAAUGGACUCUUCACACACAAGGAGCUCCUGAUGAAAACACACCUGCAGGGAGUGCAGGGGCAGACGGGGACUCCGUGAGGGCAGCCGACUGGCAACAGCCUUCAGUUCCGACAAAGACACAUCACAUUGCAAAUGACACUAUGCCGUCUAGUUUUUGUGUUUUGUUAUAACAGGUUAAAAGAACCCCUGGGCUUAAUUUUUCCCUUACUUAGUUAUAUGGCAGCAGAGAAAAGUGACUUCUUUUCAUUUCUCAGCUCAAAACUGCCUAAGCUGUGUCUCUUCCUCAACAUCCCUUUGAGAAUAAAAGUCUAGAAAUAAAACA